UUUAGCUUUUCCAUUCCAUUUUAUUUUACAUAUCAAAGCUGCGUGCUUGAGUUUUGCAGCGAUUCUUACAGUAGCUUUUGAAGCAGAUUUAUUUAAAAUGGAAAAAAAAAAUUAUAAUGUAUGAUUUUCUAAAUUCACCCACUGGAGACUUAUUAACAAUUAAGCAGUAUACUCGUUUACACGUUCAAAAAAGUGUCUAGCCGUUUAUCCAUUAUCUAGUUAGGUUUCAACGGUCAGGAGGAGCUACUCUAUUGAGGUGGAACCCAUUAAUGAAGUUAGUGGAACUCCAUAAUUUCAAGACUCCUGGGGUACUACAUAUACAUGCGAAAAUCUGCUCAUGCUAUUGUUUGUCCUAUAUUUCUGAGAUUUUUAUGCAUCUGGAGUUGCUCUCAGAGUUCCAAACAGCUUAAUUUGUACAUUUUCAUGACCUUUUGAAACUAUUGGCCUGUUUGUUUCACUUAAUCAUGGGAAACUCAAUGGAUUGUAAUGAUAGGGAAUGGAAUGUACUGUAAUAAUGUUUACAUACUUUUAUUUGUUAUGUCAUCAAGGAAAGAUAAUGCUUUGGUAUCGAAAUGUUUGGCUGGAUUACAAAUAACGUAGGAAUAGAUAACAACAAACCUAGAGACAAAAUCACCCUUUACCAGAUUAUGCUCCUUGUAUGUGGGUGUCUAUAUACAUGACAUGUGUACAGUGGCUUUGCUUUUAUACUGUUGCAAUCAUGUUUAUUUAUCCCGUUAAUUCUUUUCUCUCGUUAGCUUUUAUGCAGGACAUUUAUAAUUAAAUUCCCUAUGUAAAUUCUCAACAAACUCCAAUAUUGAGUGGGCUACUGGAAGACGAGUCCUUCAAAAGCAAGCAGUCAUUAGUUGGCUGCAAAUGUUGUUGCUUAGAUGUAAUGAAAUUUUGUAUCUAUGUUAAGUCCUUGCUUAGCAUUAAAUAAUCUCAGCUUCAAUUUUAGACACACGGUCUUUGCUCCAAAUGUGAUAGAUCUUCAAAUUAAGGCAAGCAUUUAUUCCUGAAAUUUCCAGGUUGCUUCUUAAUCUGAAAAUGAAGAAUGAUAGUCAUACAAUAAUUUUAGCGUCAUCAUAUAACAAUAUACAUUGACACAUUAAUAAUAAUAUAAACACGGUUGACACAUCUAUCAUCAAACAAUUUAUAAAUUGAAUCAAACCUUUUGUAUUCCAUGCCAGUAGUGACUCUUGCAUCGCUCGGUGAAAAUGGCUUUCGCAGCGUCUUUCAUCCUUGGGCCUAACCAACAAGACAAGAGCAGCUGCUGAUCCUCAAGUCGGUCUUUCGAGGGAACUGGAGAGUCACGAAAUCGCCAUAGAUGAGCUCAACCAUCUUCCAUCUUCUAGGGGAACUCAGUUGAUUUAGCCAGCGGAAUUUACAAACAUUAGGCUGUUAGGCUUCGGUAAAGUUUGGAAGAAUUAACUUUUACAGUUUUGAUACUUACGAGUCCAAUGGAAGAACUGGCUGUUUAAUCAAUUUGUAAGCUGAAUGGCAGUAGGCUUAGCUAAAGUUUGGGAGAACUAAUUCGUAAACCUAUAUGGAUAUUUAAUGGGAUGUUAGAUUUUACGGUUUUUCCUUUGAGUUACACAUAAUUUGUGUAUGAUAUUUUUUUGACGGUUUAAUCAUGGAGCACUGACCUGUAAAUAGAAAUUUUCACUUUAGAGAAAAUGACUGCAAACACCUUAAAUAGAGGUAUCUAAUUUAUUUCCAAUGUAAUA